rnacentral:lncRNA from 1 species
UGUAAUAUCCCUCGCUUUUAAAAAUUAUUAAUAAAGAUUUAUAUGUAAAUUGGAGGACCUAUAUGUAAAUAUAGAAAUUACAAGGACUAAACUGCUAAGUUGCAAAAAAGAAAAAAAAAGGGAAAACCGAAAAUUCGGUAUUAUCCCACCGCCUCCCACGCACUCUGUUUCUUCCAGAAACAGAGAGAGCGGUGGGGCGU